rnacentral:rRNA from 1 species
AGUGAACGCUGGCGGUAGGCCUAACACAUGCAAGUCGAACGGCAGCACAGUAAGAGCUUGCUCUUACGGGUGGCGAGUGGCGUACGGGUGAGGAAUACAUCGGAAUCUACUUUUUCGUGGGGGAUAACGUAGGUAAACUUACGCUAAUACCGCAUACGACCUACGGGUGAAAGCAGGGGAUCUUCUGACCUUGCGCGAUUGAAUGAGCCGAUGUCGGAUUAGCUAGUUGGCGGGGUAAUGGCCCACCAAGGCGACGAUCCGUAGCUGGUCUGAGAGGAUGAUCAGCAAAACUGGAAGUGAGACACGGACCAGAGUACUACGGGAGGCAGCAGUGGGGAAUAUUGGACAAUGGGCGAAAGCCUGAUACAGCAAUACCGAGUGGGUGAAGAAGGACUUCGGGUUGUAAAGCCCUUUUGUUGGGAAGGAAAAGAAGCAGGUUAAUACCCAGAUGUUCUGACGGUAACAAAAGAAUAAGCACCGGCUAACUUCGUG